GGCUUUCCCUCGUGAGUGUCAGAAACAUGUGUGCUGCUAGCGCUAACGAGAACGUUGAUUUGGUGCCAAAGAAGGAUCUUCAGUGGUAUGACAGUAUUUCAGCUACAGGAAAACCCAUGUCAACAGAGUGCAAAAAGUGCCUCAGAGUAGUGGAGACAACACAUGUACUUAAUCGUUUUGAAGAAUAAACAUCCACUACAUUACAACGAUUGCAUGGUAAAAAUAAAGUGCCCAAAGAGCAGCAGAGCCCCUCAGCCACAACCAGCCAUGUACAUUAACAGGCACUGACCGCCGAUGGGUCAGUGUAACACCCUACCAAAACAACAUCCCGUAGACACACAGAAAUCACAGAGGCUAUAACAUAGCCCAAGUAAUGGUUCCUGUUUACACAAUCAACAAAGACUACUGAUAUAUAAUAAUAAUAAUAAUAUAUGCCAUUUAGCAGACGCUUUUAUCCAAAGCGACUUAGUCAUGUGUGCAUACAUUCUACGUAUGGGUGGUCCCGGGAAUCGAACCCACUACCCUGGCGUUACAAGCGCCAUGCUCUACCAACUGAGCUACAGAAGGACUACUGCAACAAGAUCAUUCAAAAGCUGGAUAUACAAGAUUCCAUCUCACAAAUAAGUCGCCAACCCUACACUGCAUAAUAAAAUGAAGAUAGAAGUUUAAACAUGUCGCGUUGAAUGACUGGACCAGAUUCCAACGUGUUGGACAUAGUCGGUAGGCUACGUGUUACAUGUUAAGGCACGUUGACUUAUAAUUUCCAUUAGAAUAAUGAUUGAGCCUAUUUAUACAUAAUUACACAAUCAUAGGCGUCCUAUUCAAUCCGCAGCCAAUGGCUACCUGAAUAAAUUAUGAUUAAUUAUUAUUUAAGAACUCAUAAAUGGUCAAAUAGGAAGUCAUAAUGGUAUUAGUUAAUGAAUGAAUAACUGCUGCACUUAUAGCACACUAUAUUUUGAUGAUCGUGAAAAACAUACCAAUUGUAAUAUGUAGGUGUAAUAAUCGUAUUAUAUGUAGGUGUAAUAAUCGUAUCUAUUAUAUGUAGGUGUAAUAAUCGUAUUAUAUGUAGGUGUAAUAAUCAUAUCUAUUAUAUGUAGGUGUAAUAAUCGUAUUAUAUGUAGGUGUAAUAAUCGUAUCUAUUAUAUGUAGGUGUAAUAAUUGUAUUAUAUGUAGGUGUAAUAAUCGUAUUAUAUGUAGGUGUAAUAAUCUUAUUAUAUGUAGGUGUAAUAAUCGUAUCUAUUAUAUGUAGGUGUAAUAAUCAUAUCUAUUAUAUGUAGGUGUAAUAAUCAUAUCUAUUAUAUGUAGGUGUAAUAAUCUUAUUAUAUGUAGGUGUAAUAAUCAUAUCUAUUAUAUGUAGGUGUAAUAAUCAUAUUAUAUGUAGGUGUAAUAAUCAUAUCUAUUAUAUGUAGGUGUAAUAAUCGUAUUAUAUGUAGCCUAUAACAAUGUUGGAAAUGAUUUGCUUCGUUUGGUUUUGUAUUCAGUUAGCAUUUCACUGUAAGGUCCUGUUGUAUUCGGCUGAUGUGACAAAU